rnacentral:rRNA from 1 species
CGCUGGCGGCGUGCUUAACACAUGCAAGUCAACGGGGUAGCAAUACCUAGUGGCGAACGGGUGAGUAACGCGUAGAUAACCUGCCUUUAAGUUGGGGACAACAACUCGAAAGGGUUGCUAAUACCGAAUGUUGUUGGAGGUUCGCAUGAAUUUUCAACUAAAGAUUUAUCGCUUAAAGAGGGGUCUGCGUCCGAUUAGGUAGUAGGUGAGGUAACGGCUUACCUAGCCGACGAUCGGUAACCGGUCUGAGAGGAUGAACGGUCACAUUGGGACUGAGACACGGCCCAGACUCCUACGGGGGGCAGCAGUGGGGAAUAUUCCACAAUGGGGGGAACCCUGAUGGAGCGACGCCGCGUGAAAAUGAAGAAGGGCUUCGGCUCGUAAAGUUCUUUUGCAGUUGACGAAUGGUCUAUUGGAUAGGCAGAGACGGUAAACUGCGAAUAAGCCACGGCUAACUACGUGCCAGCAGCGGC